rnacentral:rRNA from 1 species
GGACGAACGCUGGCGGCGUGCUUAACACAUGCAAGUCGAGCGAUGAAGCUUCUUCGGAAGUGGAUUAGCGGCGGACGGGUGGGUAACACGUGGGUAACCUGCCUCAUAGAGGGGAAUAGCCUUCCGAAAGGAAGAUUAAUACCGCAUAAGAUUGUAAUAUCGCAUGAUAUAGCAAUUAAAGGAGUAAUCCGCUAUGAGAUGGACCCGCGUCGCAUUAGCUAGUUGGUGAGGUAACGGCUCACCAAGGCGACGAUGCGUAGCCGACCUGAGAGGGUGAUCGGCCACAUUGGGACUGAGACACGGCCCAAACUCCUACGGGAGGCAGCAGUAGGGAAUCUUCCGCAAUGGACGAAAGUCUGACGGAGCAACGCCGCGUGAGUGAAGAAGGUUUUUCCGGAUCGUAAAACUCUGUUGUCAGAGAAGAACAAGUUGGAGAGUAACUGCUCCAGCCUUGACGGUAUCUGACCAGAAAGCCACGGCUAACUACGUGCCAGCAGCAGC